AUUGAACGCUGGCGGCAGGCCUAACACAUGCAAGUCGAGCGGAAGAAGGGAGCUUGCUCCUGGAUUCAGCGGCGGACGGGUGAGUAAUGCCUAGGAAUCUGCCUGGUAGUGGGGGAUAACGUCCGGAAACGGGCGCUAAUACCGCAUACGUCCUGAGGGAGAAAGUGGGGGAUCUUCGGACCUCACGCUAUCAGAUGAGCCUAGGUCGGAUUAGCUAGUUGGUGGGGUAAAGGCCUACCAAGGCGACGAUCCGUAACUGGUCUGAGAGGAUGAUCAGUCACACUGGAACUGAGACACGGUCCAGACUACUACGGGAGGCAGCAGUGGGGAAUAUUGGACAAUGGGCGAAAGCCUGAUCCAGCCAUGCCGCGUGUGUGAAGAAGGUCUUCGGAUUGUAAAGCACUUGAAGUUGGGAGGAAGGGCAGUAAGUUAAUACCUUGCUGUUUUGACGUUACCAACAGAAUAAGCACCGGCUAACUUCGUG
rnacentral:rRNA from 1 species